GACGUAGGGCGCGAGCGUUGUCCGGAUUUAUUGGGCGUAAAGAGCUCGUAGGCGGCUUGUUGCGUCGACCGUGAAAACCCGGGGCUCAACUUCGGGCUUGCGGUCGAUACGGGCGGGCUAGAGUUCGGUAGGGGAGACUGGAAUUCCUGGUGUAGCGGUGAAAUGCGCAGAUAUCAGGAGGAACACCGGUGGCGAAGGCGGGUCUCUGGGGCCGAUACUGACGCUGAGGAGCGAAAGCGUGGGGGAGCGAACAGG
rnacentral:rRNA from 1 species